rnacentral:tRNA from 1 species
GGCUGUAGCUCAGUGGUAGAACGCUUGCCUGGCAUGUGUGAGGCAUUGGGUUCGAUCCUCAGCACCA